rnacentral:rRNA from 1 species
AUGCCAAAAAAAAAGAUAAGCUCCAUAAGCUGGGGCCAGGUGGCUAUGCGGUGGCAAUGCCUAAGUGGGAUAAGUCUGAGAAAGAGAUGGAGGAUGCAGGUGUCACUCCGGUUACUAAGAGCUGACCCCCCCAGGUGCAGGACUUGGUUCUAUGCGCAUGGGGGGGAGUUGGACCCGAAGACAGGCAAUGUUUUGACGAAGGCAAGUCUGAAGGGAGCCGACGAUGCGAUACUUGUUGCAAUAGAAGAGGCACGAUCGGGGGUGUUCCAGCCCAACAGAGAGAACGACGAGCUUACGCGUGCCCUGGGAAAUCCUGAACACCCGGGAAGAACACGAGGCAUGGGCGCUAUUCCGUGGUAUGAGGGGUUUUCAGACUGGAACACUGACUACAGAACCCGUGCGAGAAAGAAGGUUGCGGAGGAGAAGAAGAGGAAGAUGGAGGAGGAGCAGAGGAAGCGGGACUAUGAACGCCUUCAAGGCCUAGAAGCAAGUCAAGCGGAAUUGGCAGUCAAAUUCCAGCGGCAGCAGGAGCAGAUCGACUCACUUACCCAGCAAAUGGGGUCUCAGCAACUGCAGCUUCUAGCGGAUGAUCCAGCAUUGGAUAGCACCGCCCCAUCCAUGCUGAGAAGCAGCGCGGGUUCCGCCCCGGACGACGCAACGCUGGGUAGAUACCCCGUGGAUGACAUCACGGAGAACACUAACUGUGAGCUACACGUCAAAAUAGCGAACAUAUCCAUGAAGGUGGCGGACGCCGUUGCUUUUACAAAUUCCCCCGAGGCAACCUUCCAUUGCAACCCGAUUCCAGCGGGCUAUGCUCGUGUCUUGGUUGAUGAGGUGGUGGACCCACCAUAUUCGGAGCUACAGCUUGACAUUCCUGGAGGUGACGACGAGCGCUUUCUCGGAGAGGCCAAACAUCGUAUCAUCCUAUGGAAAAAGGAUUGCAUCAUCUUUCGAAGGCCACCGACACCGCGUCAGCCGACUCCUCGUCAAAGUCCGCCACCGAGUCAGCUGUCUCCCGCUCCUGGAAGUCCACCAAGUCCGGCAAAGUGUCAGGCCACUCCUCCUCCAAGUCCGACAAAGUGUCAGGCCACUCCUCCUCCUCUAAGUCCGCCACAGCGUCAGACGUCCACUCCUCCUCCAAGUCCGGCACAACCUCAGGCCACUCCUCCUCCAAGUCCGGCACAGCUUCAGGCGGCCACUCCUCCUUGUCCAACUCAGCCCCGUCAGUCGUCUCCGCUGCCUCAGCAAUCGCAGAAGAGACACCCCGCAGCUAUGGUGCGUAGCGGUACGAGUCGAGGUAGUACAGGAAGUACAGGCGGAGGCAAGCGAUAUAAAUAUGGUCCAAGCCUCACGCCUCUUCCGUAG